GACGAACGCUGGCGGCGUGCUUAACACAUGCAAGUCGAACGGAAAGGCCUGCUUUCCCUUGUGGACUGCGGGUACUCGAGUGGCGAACGGGUGAGUAACACGUGAGUGAUCUGCCCCCAACUUGGGUAUAAGCCUGGGAAACUGGGUCUAAUUCCCGAUAGGACUGCAGGGUGGUGCCUGUGGUGGAAAACGAUUUUCUAGUGGUUGGGGAUGAGCUCGCGGCCUAUCAGCUUGUUGGUGGGGUAAUGGCCUACCAAGGCGGCGACGGGUAGCCGGCCUGGGAGGGUGGACGGCCACAUUGGGACUGAGAUACGGCCCAGACUCCUACGGGAGGCAGCAGUGGGGAAUAUUGCACAAGGGGCGGAAGCCUGAUGCAGCGACGCCGCGUGGGGGAUGACGGCCUUCGGGUUGUAAACUCCUUUCGACCGCGAGGAAGCCACCUGGUUGGAAGGGUGGUGACGGUAGUGGUAGAAGAAGCACCGGCUAACUACGUG
rnacentral:rRNA from 1 species